UGGUGGUGGUUCCUUUUUGUUGUUUGGGUCAGCGGGAGAGGGCUGUACUCUCCCCCAUUUACGUCUUAGAUAUUUUAAAUUGAUUUGCUUGUUCCAUCCAAAAUGACUUUUUUGUGCAUUUCAGUCCUUCACCAUUGGUUUUUCUGCCAUUUUCAUCCUUGAGGUUGGCAAUUCAUUGCGACUUUCGUCCCUCGGGGAUGAAAAAGGCACCUCAAGGACGAAAGUCGCAAAAGUAGCCAAACCUCAUAAACGAAAAUGACAUUUUACUCUAUAAAAAAACAGAAAAAAUGGAUUACCCGAUAUCAAUAGUAGUCUCUUCCAAACGAGCUUACUUGGUCGCAUAUUUCACAAGUGAUGUCACCCUUUUCGUUGCACCAAACACUUCCUGUGAGCAUACUGCAUAA
rnacentral:lncRNA from 1 species